GGUCUGAGCCACCAGAAGGAUAAAACUGCCAUCUGCUGAUAAGGGGAAGGCAGAGGGUCGACAGCUUUGUGUAAGAUCAGGAAGGCAAUUUGGGUUGAGUUUUGGAUCUACCAGACAAUGGAAAUAUACAUCUAAGCCAGAUAUUUAAGUCAGGAGACAAGGUGAGAAAUCUAAACUGGAAAUUGAAGCCUGUUUAUACUUACAGCCAUGGGACUUAAUGAGAUUCCUAAGGGAAUAAAGAUAAAGAAGAUAACAAGGACUGAGCUCUCAAACAUUAAGAGGCCCCAAUCUCAUUCCUAUGUAUUUAUUUCGGAGCAAAAAAGGAAAGCUGAAUGAAGGGCAAUAGGAGAGCAAUUAGAGAACAACAGAAGUGCAAGUGCCGAGGAUCCAGGGGCGAACCCUGGGACCCUAAGGAUGGGAGAAGCACCAGAUGAAAAGAGCCUGUGCUCAAAUGGCUCCAGGGAGCAGAAAGGUCCUCUCCUGGGCCCUCAUUCCAUCGAGAGAGAAAUAAACUUUGAUUGUGUUAGACAACACAGAUGUUGCGGUAUUAACUGUUAGCCUCACCUGUCUAAUAAACUUCCUCAGCUUUUAUUUCCUCACCAGUAAAAGUGAAAAGAAUAGCAUGUACCUCCUAAGGCUGAGGUUAGGAUUACAUGAGAUAAAAAUGAGAAGUGCUUAGCACAGGGUUUGGCACAGAGCAGGGCUGUGUAAACAGUGGCUGCUUCACCCUCCCCAUCAUCAUCACCAUCAUGAUCCCUUGCUCACAUUUUAGCUGAAACAUUUUCCACAGCCCUUAAGAAGCCCAGAAAGUUCCAAAAAUGAUAUUUUGGCAGGGUUCUCUAGGCAGCAUACGUCCAAGACCCAAUAUCUGACCCAUGCAGUCUGAUAGCAGAGCUCAUGGGAUGUUGAUAAAUCUUUUCUGGCUCAGAACACUUUUCGCUGGAUAAGGUUAGAUUUUUUAAUGCCUAUCAUUUACUGAAUAAUUAAAGUCAUUAUUUCCAAUUGCUCUUGGGCAUGCAAAUCCUCUUAGAGCUAUCACUGAAUAUAACUUACUUGCUGUAAGUCACAAGAAACAAGUUUCUUAUAGCAAGAAACUCCUUACACACCAUGCAUUCUCUGUAAAUGCUUGUUAAUUAAGUGGAAUUUCUUCCUUUUUUUUUUUUUCUUUCUUUUUCUUUUUUUCUAUUUUGGUCCUUUUAGGGCCGAACCCAAGGCAUAUGGAAGUUCCUAGGCCAGGGGAUCGAAUCAAAGCUACAGCUGCCAGCCUACACCACAGCCACAGCAAUGCACGAUCCAAGCCACCUCUGCAGCUACACCAUAGCUCACAGCAACGCUGGAUCCGGAACCCAGUGAGUGAGGCCAGGGAUCAAACUUGCAACCUCAUGGAUACCAGUCAGAUGACAUCCACUGAACCACAAUGGGUACCUCUGGAUUCGACCUUUAAGUGCUGAUGGGAAGUCAAGAUUUUCAGUAUAGACAGAUAUUUAUAGAAAUAAAUCUAGUGGAUGUGUGUGUACAUAUAUGACUAUUCUCCCUAGAGGGUAUGAAAGUAGCAACACCCCAACAGUAAUGAGCACACCUAGCACCCAGAUCCUAAUUGCUAAAUACUAUUCUCCACCAAAAUAACCCAGGGCUCCUUGCAGAAAUGACUGAUUCCAGGGCUGGUGCAUUUUAUAAGGAAUGACCUAAUCAAGGUAGCCAGGUUACCAUCACCAGCAAUAAAAUUGUGUGUACCAUCUGAUAGGAUGCAAUGAGAACAUAGCAUCAAUUCUGUGAUAUCCCUUGCCAAAAAGAUUGUAACCUGAAUCUAAUCAUGAGCAGUCAUCAGACUAACACAGAUGAAUCGAUAUAUUCUACAAAAUAAGUGGCCUAUAAUCUCCACAAGUGUCAAGACCACCAAACUCAAGAAAACCAAUUUCAGGACUGAAGGAAUCUAUAAAGACAUAACCAUUAAAGGCAACACAUGGUCCUGGAUUGAGUCCCUUCACUGUGUGGGAUCUGAGUUCCAUGGCUGGAAUGUACCACACAUGCUAAUGGAAGUCUAAUAACAUAGAUGGCAUUCGGGGUGAUGGAGCCACACGUCAGCAGCAUCUUGCUCUCAAAUGGUUCAAGGAAAAUUCUUUGUACUAGUCUUACAAUUUUUCUGUAAGUUUGAAAUUAUUUUAAUUUUUAAAAAAUAACCAUUAUUUGUUAUGAGGUCAGUAAACAACAUAUUUAUUUUUAAGCUCUAUUCCAAAAGCUCUUAUGACAAUUAAAUGAGUUAAUAACCUACAGAGCAUUUAGCACAAUGCCUGGCACAGGGUAAGACCCUAAAAAUAUAGCUAUAACUAGCACAAUAUAGUGCAAUAUUAAAUCUCAAACACAUACAGUCCUCGUCCCACUGGCAAGUGAGUACGAUCAGGGGAGUCAAAUGAAAGGACUCAAUCAGAUGGUUGGAACUGUUCCUGCCAUGAAGCAAAUGUUAGGACAGAUGACCUUGAGGCUCCGUUUGUACUUAAUUAUGUCUGGUCCCAUAGUGCUAAUUACCAUAUUUCCUCAGCCCUUUCAUAAGCAUCUUCUUGAUUAAAAAUCAUUUAUUAGGCACAGUACAACGUAUACCACCCCACCAAAGCAUUGUAAAGGCUUGAUUAAGCAUUGCAUUUUUCUGGCUCCUCUUGAACCGUUACCCACACUCACUUUGUAAAUGAAGACAUGGAUCUGAACAGUUUCACCCAAGGAUGCGGAGCAGGUUGAUGGCAGAGAUAAGAACAAAUACCUAGAGAGUCACUGACCUUGCUUCCCCUCUGGUUCCCAAUGACCAGCUAAACUUACCAAAUCAACUCAGCCAAGUUACACCAACAAAAGGAACCCUAGUUCGCUGUGUCCCUUUUCAACUUCAACUUCGCACUUAGCUUUCUAUCUCAAAAUAUUGUCCCUGGGGAUUAAGGCAGCAUUUCACAAUAAUGGGAUAAGAUUUAGCCUGUGCAGGAAGCAAAGUUCCUUUAUUCUGAAAACCGUCAUCGUCAAAAACACAAAGGGAGAAAAGGAAAAGAAGGAAAAAUGCCACUGCUCAGACCCGGUAUCUCGGUAUCUCGUUCUCCUCCCUCUGCCUCAUUCCUGGCGCAUGCAGCUCGCUUUGACAUCGAGGGGCGCUCUGCCAGGAAAGAGCCACAUGGACUGCCGAAGGGGAUCGGAACCUGACCCUCUCUUCUCCCACUCCUCCCCCUUCUCCAAGUCCCCACUGCCAGCUUCACAAACAGUUAAUUGCCUUUCCCUACCAAGAGUUUGACAGCCACUCUCCCACAAACGACACUAAAAUCUUUACCCCCUGUAUGGUUGGUGAAAAAAAAAAAAAAAAAAACUGUUUCCAUUUUUAGGAGAGCAUAAGACCUGGCCCAUUUUAUUUAGAAAUUAAUAAUAAUUCUGAGUGCUCUCUUUUCUCUGUUCUGGAAGAGCAGUGAAGCAGCCGUGCAAUGAAGAAUUUACCACUGUGCGUGCCAGGACAAAAACAGAUGGACCAAAAAAGUUUAGAUGGAUGAAUCUGAAAAAUUGGAUGACCUUUCUUAUACCCCAAAAGUUAUAAAAAAUUAGAAGAGCAAAACUUCCAUUUGCCAGCAAGAUUCUCUCCAAUUUGCAAAUUUCACAUUGUGGAUUCGGGGACAGGAGUUAAAAAAAAAAAAAGCUCACCCCAUUCUCUGGAUGGCCAGAGGUCAUCUCAUCGCCAUGGGUCUCCUUACAUGAAAAGUCUAGAAAACUGUUCUGUUCAUAAACUACCACCUCCUCACUCCGAUAAAAAUAAGGAUGGUCAAGGAACUCAAUUCAUGGCCUCACAACAUCCUGAGAUUCCUGAAGCCAGACUAGGGCAAAGAAUGGUGCAUUUCAUUAGAACACAAUCCAAAUGCAACCAAGGGACAAGCACAAAUACCAGAGAGUCAUUGACCCUGCUUCCCCUUUGGUUCCAAAUGACCAGCUAAAUGCCCCAAAUUUGAGGAUAAGCCCCAACUCAGCCAAGUUACAAUAAUAAUAGGAACCCUAAUUCAGUGUGUCCCUUUUCAACUUGAACUUUGCACUUAGCUUUAUAUCACAUAAUAGUGUCCCUGGGGAUUAAUGCUAAGUGCAACCAAGAACUGGCUCAGGCUCAGGUCUCAGCUAACUGCUGCCUGUUCCCAAUGGAAGCUACUCAACCUCACAGAUUUACUCAUGAUCAGAACUGAUGCAAUAGAUUGCAGAUUUAUAGCAUGUUAACUGGAUCAGUGCAAAUCCAGCACCAAUUACCAAAGCCAUUUAUAGCAUCUGCUCGAUCAAAUGGUCAAUAGUAUAUAACUGUGUAUAUAUUUGGGCACAGAUAUGUUAUGGGAAAUAUUUAGUUCACAGACAUUCUGAAUAAUUCCUAGGCAAUGUAUAAAAUGUACUAUUGUGAAUAUAUAAUGUUAUUUAUAAACAAAGAAUGCUGAGAUGGAGACCCACAAAGUUCAUCCAAAUUCAGCUCUGCUCUGCUUUUGGAAUAUGGGUGAGUUACACUUCCCUACACUCUGUACUUGUAUGGGGCAAUUCUAGCCAAUGAGGUGUGGGGAUGUGACAUUGCUGGAGUGAAGAGCCUCAUCCUACACUUUCUCAGCCAUAGGGAAUCCUGUGGUAUCAUGCUGAUUGGUCGAGUCACAAGAUAAGUGAAACAAAACUGAGAGUAGAGCACCCCACCCAGCUCAUGAGCAAUCUUUUUUUUUUUUUUUUUUCCUCUGUUUCAAUCUCCUGAGGCUUGGGAGAUCUCUGUUACUGCUAUGGGCUUUGCCUGUUUAUAAAUAAUAGGGAGGAGUUCCUGUUGUGGCUCAGUGGUAACAAACCCAACUAGCAUCCAUGAGGAUGUGGGUUUGACCCCUGGCCUCAAUGAGUAGGUUAAGGAUCAGGCAUUGCCAUAAGCUGUGGUGUAAGUCGCAGACACGUGGUUCGGAUAUCACGUUGCUGUGGCUGUGGUGUAGGCUGGCAGCUACAGCUCUGAUUGGACCCCUAGCCUGGGAACUUCCAUAUGCCAUGGGUGUGGCCCUAAAAAAAAAAAAAA
rnacentral:lncRNA from 1 species